UAGGAGUAAUUGCGACAAGUGAAAGUUUUGCGUAUGCAGUCAUAUUUUAUCAUCUCCUUUAACCUUCAGCUUCCGUACAGCCAGUUCGCUCUGGUUUUACUCGUAUAAAUAAAUGCAUCAUUUGUUAGUCGCUUUGUAUCCUCCAUCAACUACUUUGUCAGCUUUAGAGGUCAACUGCGUCGGGAGUCGACUGUGAGAACUUCUGUCCCUUCUCAUGUGAAGUGAAUGGAAUCAAAUAAAAGCAGAUUUAUAAAAAGUAUUUUCUGUUUACUUCCCAGCGUCCAUGAAGGUCUCGUACAGGAGCGAACAUGUCAGGAGGAAAACAGCGUCUGUACAAGGGAAAUAAACUGUGCUACAAGGCUGCAGGGAAAUAAGCAGAGGGUAUAAGACAAAGCGCAAGCAGAUCAAGAGACCCACCAGACGAGGAGGCCAACGGCACAGGAGAAACUAUAAAGACAAGGGGCCAACGGGCGGGUCGAGUCCCCCAACAACAAUCACAGACCCAGCUGUAACAUCCCAAAAAAAAGUGUUGUAUCUGGUGUUCAUGGAAACAGGAACAAGAAAUAAAUGAUGAUGGAACCAGCAUAUUCUUUUACUGCAUGAUGGAAAACAUCAGGUUCUGCUCUCGAC